AAAAAGGAGUUCGCUCCGCUCCAGCCUCACUGCCUGCAGGGAGAAAGGAAGAAAGAGGGAGGGAAAAUAGCAACACUUGGCCUUACAAGAUCUUUUAAUCAGGGAGGCCCCGAAGGAUCUCAGGUGGCCUGGAGAAGUUGAGAUUUCCUCCUUUAGGCUGUGUGCCUGCGUCUUGUGGCUGAGAAGAAUCAUGGAAUCAUAGUGUGUCCCAGGCAUGCAUCCCAGGGUGCUGAACGAGCUGGCUGAGGUGGUUGCCGAGCUGCUCUCCGCCAUAUUUGAACAGUCAUGGCUGUCAGGUUUGGCCAACGUACAAUGAAAAAGGCACUGGGAUACGCAUGAAAAAAGAGGAGGAAAAAGAAUUUGAGCUGCUAUUUCUAUUAAGAAUGGAUUACUGAGGCCAGGAAAGUCCAGAUCUGAGAGCCAGGCCAUGCUGUGGGCAGGGCAGCUGGGAAAGAGACAGCAACCAUAGCACACCCUGUGAUUUCUGCAGGAUUACCAAUGGCUGGAAGUUUUCAAGAAAUGAAGCUCUUCAGAUCACUGAGAAAACAAAGUUCAAGUCAAAACCAGGAACCAGUACACCUCCACAGUGCAGGACAAAUCUGCCCAUCUCUUUAAGCUUGAAUUAGCAGCUUGCCUCAAAACUGGGAUGCAGCAAAAUCUCAGCAAAUCAAAGUUGGAAUUCGAACUGGCAUAAGCUGACCAUUUUCUGACAUUGGAACACUCUAAAAGGUAUGGAG